AGGGCGUACGGCGAAUGCCUUGCCACUCGAAACUGAAGAAGGACGCGCCAAACUGCGAAAAGCUCCGUGAAGCUGUAAGGAAGCGAAGAAGCGGAGGUGUCCGAAUGGGGGAACCCGGCAGCAGACAUGAGCUGUCAUCUGCAGGUGAAUACAUGGCCUGCAAGAGAGGUACCCGGCGAACUGAAACAUCUAAGUAGCCGGAGGAAAAGAAAACAACAGUGAUUCCCUGAGUAGCGGCGAGCGAAAGGGGAGAAGCCCAAACCGGUUGAAGGACCGGGGUUGAAGGACCAUGACAUGGCAAGAACGAGGAUAGGAGAACGGGAUCGAAAGCCCGGCCGAAGAAGGUGAAAGCCCUGUAACCGAAAUCCGAGUAAAGCCUAAUGGGAUCCUGAGUACGGCGAGACACGAGAAAUCUUGUCGGAAGCAGGCGGGACCAUCCGCCAAGGCUAAAUAUAAAUGAGUGAGCGAUAGUGAACCAGUACCGUGAGGGAAAGGUGAAAAGAACCGCGGGAGCGGAGUGAAAGAGAACCUGAAACCGUAUGCCUACAAGAAGUCAGAGCCCGUUAAGGGGUGAUGGCGUGCCUUUUGUAGAAUGAACCGGCGAGUUGCGACAGACUGCGAGGUUAAGGAGGAAAGACCGGAGCCGAAGCGAAAGCGAGUCUUAAGAGGGCGAAAGUAGGAUGUUGCAGACCCGAAACCGGGUGAUCUAGCCAUGAGCAGGUUGAAGUUGAGGUGAAACUCAAUGGAGGACCGAACCGACUACCGUUGAAAAGUUAGCGGAUGACUUGUGGCUAGGGGAGAAAUUCCAAUCGAACCCGGAGAUAGCUGGUUCUCCCCGAAAUAGCUUUAGGGCUAGCGUCGGAAAGAGCCUUAGUGAAGGUAGAGCACUGAAUGUGUGAUGGCCCCAUCCCGGGGUACUGAAUACAAUCAAACUGCGAAUGUCAUUAAGGAUGUCCGGCAGUCAGACUGUGAGUGAUAAGGUCCAUGGUCAAGAGGGAAACAGCCCAGACCGCCAGUUAAGGUCCCAAAAUACAGGCUAAGUGGAAAAGGAUGUGGGGAUGCCCAGACAACUAGGAGGUUGGCUCAGAAGCAGCCAUCCUUUAAAGAGUGCGUAACAGCUCACUAGUCGAGUGACCCUGCGCCGAAAAUGUACCGGGGCUAAGCCUGAUACCGAAACUGCGGAUUGUAGGAAACUAUAGUGGUAGGGGAGCGUUGUAUACGAGCAGAAGCCGUACCGUGAGGAGCGGUGGAUUGUAUAGAAGUGAGAAUGCCGGUGUGAGUAGCGAGAUGUAGGUGAGAAUCCUACACACCGAAAGCCCAAGGAUUCCAGGGGAAGGUUCGUCCGCCCUGGGUAAGUCGGGACCUAACGCGAGGCCGAAAGGCGUAGUGGAUGGAAAGCAGGCGAAAGAUUCCUGCACCCGUAUAUGGAGCGAAGGAGUGACGGAGACGGAUAGUGUGACCCUCUUAAUGGAUUGAGGGCGAAGCGAAGCGGCUGGUUACCAGGCAAAUCCGGUAACCUUAAGGCUAGAGCGUGACAGGUAAGCGAAAUCUUCGGAAAGUAGCGAAGCACAUGAUGACGGCUUCCAGGAAAAGCUUCUGGCAAUGCAUAUGCGGCCCGUACCAAAACCGACACAGGUGGGCAGGGAGAGAAUCCCGAGGUGAGCGAGAGAACUGUUGCCAAGGAACUCGGCAAAAUGACUCCGUAAGUUAGCGAGAAGGAGUGCUUAAGCAAUUAAGCCGCAGUGAAGAGGCCCAAGCGACUGUUUAACUAAAACACAGCUCUCUGCGAAGUCGCAAGACGAAGUAUAGGGGGUGACACCUGCCCGGUGCUGGAAGGUUAAGAGGAUCUGUUAAGAGCGAUCUGAAGCAGUGAUCCGAAGCCCCAGUGAACGGCGGCCGUAACUAUAACGGUCCUAAGGUAGCGAAAUUCCUUGUCAGGUAAGUUCUGACCCGCACGAAAGGUGUAACGAUUUGGGCGCUGUCUCGGCAGCAGACUCGGUGAAAUCUUAGUACCUGUGAAAAUGCAGGUUACCCGCAACUAGACGGAAAGACCCCAUGGAGCUUUACUGCAGCCUGAUAUUGAAUUCUGGUCAUACAUGUACAGGAUAGGUGGGAGACAAAGAGACGUGCACGCCAGUGUACGAGGAGUCGACGUUGGGAUACCACUCUUGUGUGACCGGGGUUCUAACCUGGUAUCGAGAACAGGUACGGGGAGAGUGUCAGGUGGGCAGUUUGACUGGGGCGGUCGCCUCCCAAAGAGUAACGGAGGCGCCCAAAGGUACGCUCAGAUUGGAUGGAAACCAAUCGUCGAGUGCAAUUGCAGAAGCGUGCUUGACUGUGAGACAGACAAGUCGAACAGGGACGAAAGUCGGGAAUAGUGAUCCGGCGGUGCCGAAUGGAAGGGCCGUCGCUCAACGG
rnacentral:rRNA from 1 species